rnacentral:rRNA from 1 species
UACGAAGGUGGCAAGCGUUGUUCGGAUUUACUGGGCGUAAAGGGCUCGUAGGCGGCCAACUAAGUCAUACGUGAAAUCCCUCGGCUUAACCGGGGAACUGCGUCUGAUACUGGAUGGCUUGAGUUCGGGAGAGGGAUGCGGAAUUCCAGGUGUAGCGGUGAAAUGCGUAGAGAUCGGGAGGAACAUCUGCGGCGAAGGCGGCCUUCUGGACGGUGACUGACGCUGAGAUGCGAAAGCGUGGGGAGCAAACAGG